ensembl:lncRNA
GUUUAGAAAAGAAGAGAAUGACAUUCACUGUGAACUUUAUUAAAAAAACGGGAGAAAAAUAGAAACAAAGAGUCUGAAAACUGAUAUAGAGACAGAGGAAGAGAAAGAGAGAGACUGAAGGACAGGGGUGUGGAGGUAAAGAGAGAGAGACUGAAGGACAGGGGUGUGGAGGUAAAGAGAGAGAGACUGAAGGACAGAGGUGUGGAGGUAAAGAGAGAGAGACUGAAGGACAGGGGUGUGGAGGUAAAGAGAGAGAGACUGAAGGAUAGGGGUGCGGAGGUAAAGAGAGAGACUGAAGGACAGGGGUGUGGAGGUAAAGAGAGAGACUGAAGGACAGGGGUGUGGAGGUAAAGAGAGAAAGACUGAAACCCAGAGGUGUGGAGGUAAAGAGAGAGAGACAGAAGGACAGGGGUG